ACUGAUUAUAGAAUGCUGAAAUUCU
rnacentral:piRNA from 1 species